rnacentral:rRNA from 1 species
GACGAACGCUGGCGGCGUGCCUAAUACAUGCAAGUCGAACGAACCGCGACUAAGUGCUUGCACUAAGACAAGGUGAGUGGCGAACGGGGGAGUAACACGUGGGUAACCUACCUCAUAGUGGGGGGUAACAGUCGGAAACUACUGCUAAUACCGCAUAGGACAUAGGAUCACAUGAUCCAGCGAGGCAAGGUCGCGCAAGCUAUCGCUAAGUGAUGGACCCGCGGGGCAUUAGCUCGUUGGUGGGGUAAAGGCCUACCAAGGCGAUGAUGCUUAGCCGGCCUGAGAGGGUGAUCGGCCACAUUGGGACUGAGACACGGCCCAAACUCCUACGGGAGGCGGCAGUAGGGAAUCUUCGGCAAUGGACGCAAGUCUGACGGAGCAACGCCGCGUGUGUGAAGAAGGUCUUCGGAUCGUAAAGCUCUGUUGUUAGAGAAGAACAGCGCAUAGAGUAACUGCUAUGCGUGUGACGGUACCUAAACAGAAAGCCACGGCUAACUACGUG